GUCCCAGUGGCCGAGUGGUUAAGGCGAUGCCCUGCUAUUAACUAAAAUAGCAAUUAGGCAUUGGGCUAUGCCUUCGCAGGUUCGAAUCCUGUCUGUGACG
rfam:Zygosaccharomyces rouxii strain CBS732 chromosome A complete sequence.